AGGGGGACCGGCGGUCCGGGCGAGGCCUCGGCCGCGCAUCGCACCCCGGCUCCCCGCCGCCGGAGUUGAGGGGGAGGCGCGCUCUCCGUAAGAGCCGGAGGCGGGGCGCCAUCGCCCUCCCACUCCCCGGCGGGCGGGCCGGGGGAGCCCGGGGCUGCGAACACCCCCAGACGGGCGGCUGCGGGAGGGGAGGCUGGACCAAGGGGCCUGGUCCACCGGACCAGCGGUGGCGGCAUCGGCAUCUCGCCUCCUUCAGGCCUGCACGCGCCACAGGCCGCAGCCUGGACCAACCCCGCGUCCCCGGGCCGUGAGCGCUGCGGUCCCGGCCCCCCAGAGCGGGACGCCGGGCGGCCGCAGCCCCCCGGACCCGGCUCUCCGCCCGCUCCGCCCGCAGUCCCGGCGCGGAGAGCGGCCGCCCGAGCCGCUGCCGCGGCAGCGCGGGUGUCGGCGACGGAGCCCGGGGCGGGGAAGAGCGGAGGAAGGGGCGGCGAGGGGGCGGGCCGGCGGCGGCCAGGGAGGUCGGAGUGCGCGGGGCUCGGCACCCCCUCGGCCCGCGCUGCGCCAGCACCACCUGCGGAGCUGCGGUGCCCACGCCGUGCCGCGACCCCGCCGCCCCUGCUCCCUCCACACGCGGGCAAACAAAACAAGUUGCCGGUCGCUGCCGCCGGAGGGGGCCGGGCGGGUCACUCACCCUCAUCCUGCUCAGCGGGCUUGGGUCGUCCGGCCGCGGGGUCAGGGAAGACCAGAGGACCACUAGCCCCAGGAAGCUUCCCACCACCAGCAAACUGCGUGGUGAAUUUGUAACCGAAAGGCCCAGGUGAGAUGUGCAAAUAUCACUGGAUUGGAGGAGCUCACUUGGAAAGCCAGUAUUCCUCCUGAGCUAAUGAAAAGAAAGGCUGUCGUCUUAUGCCAAAAGCAAUACCAACCUUGUUCACGGGCUGAGAUCUAGAGUGUGUAAUUCACGAAGUAUGAAUCUGCUGGGUAAUGUGAUAUGAAAAGCGAAUGCACCAUUUCUUGGUGAUGAUUCAGGUCAGCGUUGGGACCCAGGAAUCUCCUGUUAAUCAGUACCCUGGUGAUUUUGAUCCAGAGACGGGGUCUAUUAUCUGGUCCUGUUGUCAAGGCUGGUCUCAAACUCCUGGCCUCCAGCGAUCCUCCCUUUUUGGCCUCCCAAGAUGCUGGUAUUACAGGCAUGAGCCACCAUGGUCCACCCGGACUCCUUUUCAUAGGAGACAGUUCCCUAGGCAGAGACUGGGCUUGAAACAGUUCCUCUAAAGAAGAGGGUAGAGACUAGAACUGAAUGAGAUGGACAUAGAGAUGGCCAAGAAAAGCAUCGUCCUCUGCCAAGUCAUGGGGUCAUGUGUGGUGGAUGGUGACAUGGUGUCCUCAGCUCAGAGUCCAGCUGGGGGCUCAGAAGCAAGAUAAAAAUGUGUAUGAAGGUGGAGCCUUGUCUAUCUAGUUCGUUAUUGUUAUCCGUGUCUGAUUGUUCAUGUUGGAAGGCAUACUUUCUGAACUCUUCUCAAGUGAUGAUAAAAUGGACUAGUUGAUAAAUCUUUCUGGUACAGGUUUUCAAAACUUCCAUCUAUCCACUGUGCUUUCAUGUUAAAGAAAGAAUGGAAACAUCAUCUCUAAAACAAGAUAAACAGCUCUGGGGCUGAGGAGGCCAGCCUGCUACUGGGUAGUUUUGAUAUCAGAAGUAUUUCAAAACCUCUCCCUUGUGGAGGAUGAGUUAUAUACCCACCCUGGGGCAUCAACAUGAAGCUGCUGCCCAGUGUGCCAUUGACGGAACGCUGCAGGUCGGACAGGCCGCUCCUGCUAAAGUGUAACUUAAGUUAUUCUCACAGAAGUACCAUCCCACAGAACCCACCCGGGGGACUGUGGUUCUACACUGACUCAGUGAUCAGAGUGGGGACAUUUUCUUAUCCUUCCAGAGACUGACAAGAGAGGGGACCUGAAGGUACCUUGAUCUCACAGCUGCAUCCUGAUACAUAUAUUUUUAAUACUGUGAUGGGAAUAAAUUACUCUGAGGCUCCC
rnacentral:lncRNA from 1 species